rnacentral:rRNA from 1 species
AACGAACGCUGGCGGCAUGCCUAACACAUGCAAGUCGAACGAACCCUUCGGGGUUAGUGGCGCACGGGUGCGUAACGCGUGGGGAUCUGCCCAAAGGUUCGGAAUAACUCAGAGAAAUUUGAGCUAAUACCGGAUAAUGUCUUCGGACCAAAGAUUUAUUGCCUUUGGAUGAACCCCGCGUAGGAUUAGCUUGUUGGUGGGGUAAAGGCCUACCAAGGCGACGAUCCUUAGCUGGUCUGAGAGGAUGAUCAGCCACACUGGGACUGAGACACGGCCCAGACUCCUACGGGAGGCAGCAGUGGGGAAUAUUGGACAAUGGGCGAAAGCCUGAUCCAGCAAUGCCGCGUGAGUGAUGAAGGCCUUAGGGUUGUAAAGCUCUUUUACCAGGGAUGAUAAUGACAGUACCUGGAGAAUAAGCUCCGGCUAACUCCGUGCCCAGCAGCCGCGUAAAGUAUCGUACG